rnacentral:tRNA from 1 species
GGGGUUAUGGCUCAGUGGUAGAGUGCUUGCCUAGUAUGCAUGAAGCACUGGGUUCAAUCCCCAGAACCACG